rnacentral:rRNA from 2 species
CACUAGAAGAAAUGAUUUUUAGCAAUACCUGCCCAGUGCGACAUAUUACUGUAAACGGCCGCCCUAGCGUGAGGGUGCUAAGGUAGCGAAAUUCCUUGCCUUUUAAUUGUAGGCCUGCAUGAAUGGUUUAACGAGGGUUAAGCUGUCUCUAAGUUUAUAAGUUGAAAUUGUAUUAAAGGUGAAGAUACCUUUAUUUUGAAGUUAGACAAAAAGACCCCGUGCAACUUUGAAAAUUAGCUUUAUUAAAAGGUGAGAGAUUUUUAGGUGGGGCGCCUAGAGAGCUAGUUCUAACCUCUUUUACUGAGUUAUUAAAACUUUCAAGUCUUGACCCGGUUGUACCCGAUCAUAGGAGAAGUUACGCCGGGGAUAACAGGCUAAUCCUUUAGUAGAGCUCGUAUUGGCUAAAGGGAUUGGCACCUCGAUGUUGAAUCAGGGAUGAUACCUUUGAGGCGUAGAAGCUUCGAGAGUGGGUCUGUUCGACCUUUAAUACCCU